GUUCUAUAAAGGAAACUUCCCUAGAAAGAAACCACUUCUAAAUGGAAUAAUUAAAAUAAUUUGUUAGAAACUUUAAGUUACCCUAUGAGCUCCUAGUAACACUGUUUUCAAGCUCAUAGGUUAAUUGUUAAGCCCUUUUGCUCCGAGUUGAACUGAUCAAAUGGCUCUGUGUAAAAGGUAACAGUGUAGAAUCCUCUUUGAGAAAUAGCAUGUAAACUUGGGAGAAAUGGCCUAAGCCCACGGUUCUCAAGUCACUGAGACAGUUGAAAAAGCCCCCUCAGGUGGUGAGAAUGGGAUAAUAUUUUAUUAUAUCUCUAAGAUGCCUCAAAUCCAAAGAGAUAAUUAAAUUUGGAAUUUUAUUAGUUUCACCUAAUAGUUGUAUAAAAGCUGAAUAUUUAAGGAUCUCCUUUAUCAGGCACUGAGAUGCUUUGUAUACAUUACUUCAUUUAGUUUUCACAAUAGUCCUAAGAGGUGGAGGUAUUUUUGACCCUGUUUUAUAGUUGAAGAACAGGCUCAGUAAGGUUAUAUUACCUGCUCCAAAUUUCACAGCUAGUUAAUUUAGUUUAUGUUGGAAGUUAGCAUUUAAGGUUGGUUAUUUUUCCUAUGUGGCUCCAAUUGCUCCUAAAAUGGUGUUGAUUUUUCUGUUUAAAAUGAUCCAGAGGAGGUUCUUGGUUCAAAGCAGAUUUUUAAGUGAUUUAAAAGUGCCUCAUUGUCCCAGCGCCAAAUUAUCAAAGUUCAAGGAAUUAUGCAUUUACUCUAGAAGGCUACGGCUUUCAAAUAUUAACUGAGAAAGCCCUACUCUUAAUGAGCUCGUUAAUGCACAUGGCCGCCUUAGUGUUGCUGAACUCCGGUAACUUUCUUCUGCUUUUUUUCUGAAGACCUUUUAAUUCAGGGUGUGCAUUUUCCUCUUGCGUGUCACAAGUGCUAUUCAGGCUUUCUCUAGUUGAAUCCCCUGUUUGUGAGUGCAUACCUGCAGUAUUUUAUAUGCUAAGUGAAAUAUUUUUAAAUUUACGUUAGCACCUAGAUUAGCGUUGAACCUGUUUUAAGAAUGGCAGAGUCUUGCUCUGUUGCCCAGGCUGGAGUGCAGCAUCAUGAUCUCGACUCACUGCAACCUCAAGCAGUCUUCCCACCUCAGCCUGCUGAGUAGCUGAGACUACAGCAUUUUCUACAGACAAAAAUUAACAAACAUCAUGUCAGCUAGCAAAUGGAAAAUACUUACAGGGCUCAGAUCCCCUUUUGCAAAUCAGGCUGUAAAUGGUGAAUUUGUAGCUGAGAGGCAGUAAAUUGAUAACUGACACAGGGAGAAAAACAAGACCACCCUUCUUCUCAGAGCCUUUAUUAUUAUUUUUUUCAACAAGGUAAUUGCACAUGUAUGUGUAUGUGUGUGUGUAUAUAUAUAUUUAGGUGGGGUUUUCCUUCCAGUAGUACUUCAUCAUUUUCCUUAGAAUGCUCACAUUUUUGUGGUUUUAUUACCUGUGCUAUUCAUAGUGACAUCACUAGGGGACUUUUGAGGAUUAAGUAUUUUAGUUUUACUGUUCAUCUCUUAAACCUUGGAUAAAUACAUGAAUAUUAAUGAGUUGGAGCCACAUUUUUGAAAUGACAUUCAGCU
rnacentral:lncRNA from 1 species